GAUCACAUGGGUGGCACCAACAUCCACUCCUGAAAUUCUCAUUCGCUUAUAGAGACAAUACCAUUAGAUUAUUAUAUUUUCCUUUUGGAAUAGCAAUAGGCUCAAAGCAAUUAUGCAGCUAAGCGUUUCCAUUAAGCGAAUAGGGCCUUAAAGAAGAUUAACUGGAGCUUCUCCGGCGUUCAGUAUAAAGGUCUCACAUUUUCUGAAGAUCAAAAAUUACGCCUGCCAAGUGAUGCAAGCAAUGCAACACCCAUCUUCAGCCGCACUGCAGGACCAUUGCUGCUGGAGCAAUUCCAAUGUGUUUAGACAUUAACCUUCAUACAGAUCCACUACAAUGGAACCAUUAUCUGAUUACAGGGAAGGGCCAAAUGAUCAAUCAGAG